rnacentral:rRNA from 1 species
GCCCAGCCGUAAACUUUUAUCUACAUCUCAAUCGCCAGGGAACUACGAGCUAAGCUUAAAACCCAAAGGACUUGACGGUACCCCAUAUCCCCCUAGAGGAGCCUGUCCUAUAAUCGAUAAUCCACGUUUAACCUCACCAUUUUUAGUUAGUCAGCCUGUAUACCUCCGUCGUCAGCUUACCACGUGAGCGAGAAUUAGUGAGCUUAAUGUUUUUUCACCAACACGUCAGGUCAAGGUGCAGCAAAUGAAAUGGGAAGAGAUGGGCUACACUUUCUACUAUAGAAAAAACGAAAAACUACUUAUGAAACCUAGUUAGAAGGCGGAUUUAGCAGUAAAAAGGAAUCAGCACGUCCAUUUUAACUCGGCACUGGGGUGUGU